rfam:Burkholderia sacchari strain LMG 19450 contig00019, whole genome shotgun sequence.
UCCCCGCUUCUCCUCCCUGAGCGGGUGCCUGUCGUUUUUCGAUAAGGCUGUUUAGCCCGCCGGCAUUUGCGGCGGGUUUUUUUAU